CGUGGUUAACCUGCCCUUGGGACGGAAACACCCCCGGGAAACUGGGGCUAAUUUCCGAUAGGUGAAGGCUCCUGGAAUGGAUCUUCGCCUAAAGGGCGCUUAGGCCAUGCUUCUAGGCGCUGCCCAAGGAUGGGGCCGCGGCCGAUUAGGUUGUUGGUGAGGUAAUGGCUCACCAAGCCUUUAACCGGUUCGGGCCGUGGGAGCGGGAGCCCGGAGAUGGGCACUGAGACAAGGGCCCAGGUCCUACGGGGCGCAGCAGUCGCGAAAACUCCGCAAUACGCGAAGGCGUGACGGGGCUAUCCCGAGUGCCGUCCGCUGAGGAUGGCUUUUCCCCAGUGUAGAUAGCUGGGGGAAUAAGGAGAGGGCAAGUCUGGUGUCAGCCGCCGCGGUAAUACCAGCUCUCCGAGUGGUGGGGACGUUUGUUGGGCCUAAAGCAUCCGUAGCCAGCUGAGCAAGUCCCCAGUUAAAUCCAGCGAUUUAAUCGUUGGACUGCUGGGGAUACUGUCCGGCUAGGGGGUGGGAGAGGCCGACGGUAUUCCCGGGGUAGGGGUGAAAUCCUAUAAUCCCGGGAGGACCACCAGUGGCGAAGGCUGUUGGCUAAAACAUGCCCGACGGUGAGGGAUGAAAGCUGGGGGAGCGAACCGGAUUAGAUACCCGGGUAGUCCCAGCUGU
rnacentral:rRNA from 1 species